UGGGGAAUUUUGGACAAUGGGCGCAAGCCUGAUCCAGCCAUGCCGCGUGCGGGAAGAAGGCCUUCGGGUUGUAAACCGCUUUUGUCAGGGAAGAAACGAGUUUCUCUAAUACAGAGACCUAAUGACGGUACCCGAAGAAUAAGCACCGGCUAACUACGUGCCAGCAGCCGCGGUAAUACGUAGGGUGCAAGCGUUAAUCGGAAUUACUGGGCGUAAAGCGUGCGCAGGCGGUUAUGUAAGACAGAUGUGAAAUCCCCGGGCUCAACCUGGGAACUGCCUUUGUGACUGCAUAGCUAGAGUACGGUAGAGGGGGAUGGAAUUCCGCGUGUAGCAGUGAAAUGCGUAGAUAUGCGGAGGAACACCGAUGGCGAAGGCAAUCCCCUGGACCUGUACUGACGCUCAUGCGCGAAAGCGUGGGGAGCAAACA
rnacentral:rRNA from 1 species